rnacentral:rRNA from 1 species
GACGAACGCUGGCGGCGUGCCUAAUACAUGCAAGUCGAACGCAUUUUCUUUCACCGUAGCUUGCUACACCGAAAGAAAAUGAGUGGCGAACGGGUGAGUAACACGUGGGUAACCUGCCCUUCAGCGGGGGAUAACACUUGGAAACAGGUGCUAAUACCGCAUAAUUCCAUUUACCGCAUGGUAGAUGGGUGAAAGGCGCUUUUGCGUCACUGAUGGAUGGACCCGCGGUGCAUUAGCUAGUUGGUGGGGUAACGGCCUACCAAGGCUGCGAUGCAUAGCCGACCUGAGAGGGUGAUCGGCCACACUGGGACUGAGACACGGCCCAGACUCCUACGGGAGGCAGCAGUAGGGAAUCUUCGGCAAUGGACGCAAGUCUGACCGAGCAACGCCGCGUGAGUGAAGAAGGUUUUCGGAUUGUAAAACUCUGUUGUUAGAGAAGAACAAGGAUGAGAGUGGAAAGUUCAUCCCUUGACGGUAUCUAACCAGAAAGCCACGGCUAACUACGUG